rnacentral:rRNA from 1 species
AUUGAACGCUGGCGGCAGGCCUAACACAUGCAAGUCGAGCGAGCGGCGGACGGGUGAGUAAUGUAUGGGGACUGCCCGAUAGAGGGGGAUAACUACUGGAAACGGUGGCUAAUACCGCAUACUAUCGGAUAACCCAUAUGGGAUUAGCUAGUAGGUGGGGUAAAGGCUCACCUAGGCGACGAUCUCUAGCUGGUCUGAGAGGAUGGUUAGCCAAACUGGGAAUGAGACACGGCCCAGACCCCAAGGGAGGCAGGAGUGGGGGAUGUUGGCCAAAGGGCGCAAGCCGGGUUCAGCCAUUGCGCGUGUAUGAAGAAGGCCUUAAGGGUGUAAAGUACGUUCAGCGGGUAGGAGGUUCCCGCAGAAGAAGCACCGGCCAACUCCGUGCCAGCAGCCGCGGUAAUUC